GUGAAUCAUCGAAUCUUUGAACGCAAAUUGCACUCUCUGGUAUUCCGGAGAGUAUGCCUGUUUGAGGGUCAGUUUAAAUAAAAAUCGGUGUGGUUGUUGCCUUUCGUGGUGAUGCACCGGAUUUGGGUUGUAUUGAGUUCGGUUAAGUGACUUAAAAUUUUGCAUGAUUUUUUUCGAAAGUAUUUAAAUGAUUUUACGUAUGUUUGUGAUAGAGAAUACUAGGGGUGGUAAUCUGAAUGAUAUGGGA
rnacentral:misc_RNA from 1 species